rnacentral:rRNA from 1 species
UACAGAGGUCUCAACCGUUGUUCGGAUUCAUUGGGCGUAAAGGGUGCGUAGGCGGCGUGGUAAGUCGGAUGUGAAAUCUCGGAGCUUAACUUCGAAACUGCAUUCGAUACUGCCGUGCUUGAGGACUGGAGAGGAGACUGGAAUUUACGGUGUAGCGGUGAAAUGCGUAGAUACCGUAAGGAAGACCAGUGGCGAAGGCGGGUCUCUGGACAGUUCCUGACGCUGAGGCACGAAGGUCAGGGGAGCAAACGGG